rnacentral:rRNA from 1 species
ACGUGCCAGCAGCCGCGGUAAUACGUAGGGUGCAAGCGUUAUCCGGAAUUAUUGGGCGUAAAGGGCUCGUAGGCGGUUCGUCGCGUCCGGUGUGAAAGUCCAUCGCCUAACGGUGGAUCUGCGCCGGGUACGGGCGGGCUGGAGUGCGGUAGGGGAGACUGGAAUUCCCGGUGUAACGGUGGAAUGUGUAGAUAUCGGGAAGAACACCAAUGGCGAAGGCAGGUCUCUGGGCCGUCACUGACGCUGAGGAGCGAAAGCGUGGGGAGCGAACAGGAUUAGAUACCCUGGUAGUCCACGCCGUAAACGGUGGAUGCUGGAUGUGGGGCCCUUUCCACGGGUCCCGUGUCGGAGCCAACGCGUUAAGCAUCCCGCCUGGGGAGUACGGCCGCAAGGCUAAAACUCAAAGAAAUUGACGGGGGCCCGCACAAGCGGCGGAGCAUGCGGAUUAAUUCGAUGCAACGCGAAGAACCUUACCUGGGCUUGACAUGUGCCGGAUCGCCGUGGAGACACGGUUUCCCUUCGGGGCCGGUUCACAGGUGGUGCAUGGUCGUCGUCAGCUCGUGUCGUGAGAUGUUGGGUUAAGUCCCGCAACGAGCGCAACCCUCGCCGCAUGUUGCCAGCGGGUGAUGCCGGGAACUCAUGUGGGACCGCCGGGGUCAACUCGGAGGAAGGUGGGGAUGACGUCAGAUCAUCAUGCCCCUUACGUCCAGGGCUUCACGCAUGCUACAAUGGCCGGUACAACGCGGUGCGACACGGUGACGUGGGGCGGAUCGCUGAAAACCGGUCUCAGUUCGGAUCGCAGUCUGCAACUCGACUGCGUGAAGGCGGAGUCGCUAGUAAUCGCGGAUCAGCAACGCCGCGGUGAAUGCGUUCCCGGGCCUUGUACACACCGCCCGUCAAGUCAUGAAAGUGGGUAGCACCCGAAGCCGGUGGCCCGACCCUUGUGGGGGGAGCCGUCUAAGGUGAGACUCGUGAUUGGGACUAAGUCGUAACAAGGUAGCCGUACCGGAAGGUGCGGCUG